rnacentral:rRNA from 1 species
AGCGAACGCUGGCGGCAGGCCUAACACAUGCAAGUCGAACGAAGUCUUCGGACUUAGUGGCGGACGGGUGAGUAACACGUGGGAACGUGCCUUUAGGUUCGGAAUAACUCAGGGAAACUUGUGCUAAUACCGAAUGUGCCCUUCGGGGGAAAGAUUUAUCGCCUUUAGAGCGGCCCGCGUCUGAUUAGCUAGUUGGUGAGGUAAAGGCUCACCAAGGCGACGAUCAGUAGCUGGUCUGAGAGGAUGAUCAGCCACAUUGGGACUGAGACACGGCCCAAACUCCUACGGGAGGCAGCAGUGGGGAAUCUUGCGCAAUGGGCGAAAGCCUGACGCAGCCAUGCCGCGUGAAUGACGAAGGUCUUAGGAUUGUAAAAUUCUUUCACCGGGGACGAUAAUGACGGUACCCGGAGAAGAAGCCCCGGCUAACUUCGUGCCAGCAGCCGCAGUAAGAC